ACCUUUCCAGCUCAUCCCACCUCUGCCACCAAAACACUCAUCGCGGGGUCAGAGGGAGUGCCAAAAAAGGUAA
ensembl:miRNA MIR1260A microRNA 1260a